UUCAGUGGUAAACGUAUUAUUCUCGACUGAAGGGCUAAAGCUGACAAACUUCUGUUCUUAGAACCUACCAGUGAGGGGCGGGCUAAAUUCAGAAAACCUUAACCUCCAACCAACCCGGUUUUCUGGAGCAGAGUUUUGAUCUUAUAUUAUAUUCUUCAGUGGGUUUUCUCUUCAGACAGUGCAACCCGACAGUUGCUCAAGCGGAUACA
rnacentral:lncRNA from 1 species